CUGUUAUAAUAUAGUUUUGUUUGUGGAAACACCACGUAAAUUUAUUACUACAAUAACAAAUUUACGUGGUGUUUCCACAAAUAAAACUAUUAUAUGUUUUAUCGCCGUGC
rnacentral:miRNA from 1 species